GUAAGACUAAUUUAAUGGUAAAAUGCUUCAUUGUGGUUGAAGUCACCUCAGUUCGAUUCUGUGGUUUUACC